GGUUGGACGUUUCUUUUGAGCUUGGAGCUUGAUCCUAUUGUAUAGAUACAUAUACAUGUAAUUAAGUCAAGAUUUUAUAUGCCGAGUAUAGAUUCAAAGAUGCUCUUUCUCCUAAAAACUCUCUCAUUCUCUUUUCUCUCUUGUGAUUCUCGAUCUACAAAUUCUUAGCUUUCACAUGUAGGCAAUCUUCCUUUUGAUUGCUAGCUAAUUACUAGAUUCCCACGCACGAUCUGGCAUGA
rnacentral:lncRNA from 1 species